AUUGAACGCUGGCGGCAGGCCUAACACAUGCAAGUCGAGCGAGCGGCGGACGGGGGUGUAAUGUAUGGGGACUGCCCGAUAUGGGGGGAUAACUCCUGGAAACGGUAGCUCAUACCGCAUACUCUCUCAUUACCCCUAUGUGAUGAGCUAGUAGGUGAGGGAAUGGCUCACCUAGGCGACGAUCCCUAGCUGGUCUGAGAGGAUGAUCAGCCACACUGGGACUGAGACACGGCCCAGACUCCUACGGAGGCAGCAGUGGGGAAUAUUGCACAAUGGGCGCAAGCCUGAUGCAGCCAUGCCGCGUGUAUGAAGAAGGCCCUAGGGUUGUAAAGUACUUUCAGUCGGGAGGCGUUACCGACAGAAGAAGCACCGGCUAACUCCGUGCCAGCAGCCGCGGUAAUAC
rnacentral:rRNA from 1 species